GGUACCAGGAGAAGCUGAGGAGCACGCCGCGUGAGUGAUGAAGGCUUUCGGGUCGUAAAACUCUGUUGUUAGGGAAGAACAAGUGCUAGAGGAACUGCUUGGACCCUGGCCGGACCCAACCCAAAAGGCCCCGGUAAAUUCCUGGCCACCGCCCCCGGAAAACGGA
rnacentral:rRNA from 1 species